CGUUAAAGCGGGUGAAAAGCCCGCUCGCCGUAAGCGCAAGGUUUCCUACGCAACGUUCAUCGGCGUAGGGUGAGUCGGCCCCUAAGGCGAGGGCGAGAGCCGUAGUCGAUGGGAAGCAGGUUAAUAUUCCUGCACCGAUUCCAAGUGCGAUGGGGGGACGGAUCGUGGAAGGUUGUCCGGGUGUUGGAAGUCCCGGUUCUUGGCCUGUAGGUGUCUGGUAGGCAAAUCCGCCAGACGUAUGCCGAGGGGUUGAGACGAGCGAGCUUGCUCGCGAAGCAACUGGAAGGGGUCCCAGGAAAAGCCUCUAAGCUUCAGCUUGGAACGACCGUACCGCAAACCGACACUGGUGCGCGAGAUGAGUAUUCUCAGGCGCUUGAGAGAACUCGGGAGAAGGAACUCGGCAAAAUUGACACCGUAACUUCGGAAGAAGGUGUGCCUUGUAGCUUGAGUGUGAACAACACGAGGGCGAAGAGGUUGCAAAAAAUACGGUGGCUGCGACUGUUUACCAAAAACACAAGCACUCUGCAAACAC
rnacentral:rRNA from 1 species